UCGGGAAUCUUGGACAAUGGGCGCAAGCCUGAUCCAGCCAUGCCGCGUGGAUGAUGAAGGCCUUAGGGUUGUAAAAUCCUUUCGUGGGGGACGAUAAUGACGGUACCCCAAGAAGAAGCUCCGGCUAACUUCGUGCCAGCAGCCGCGGUAAUACGAAGGGGGCUAGCGUUGUUCGGAUUUACUGGGCGUAAAGCGCGUGUAGGCGGACUUGUAAGUUGGGGGUGAAAUCCCGAGGCUCAACCUCGGAACUGCCUCCAAAACUACAAAUCUGGACCUAAGUAGAGGCAAGUGGAAUUGCGAGUGUAGAGGUGAAAUUCGUAGAUAUUCGCAGGAACACCAGUGGCGAAGGCGACUUGCUGGACUUAUGGUGACGCUGAGACGCGAAAGCGUGGGGAGCAAACAGGAUUAGAUACCCCCGUAGUCCCUGAGCGGGCUGGCAAGGCGCAU
rnacentral:rRNA from 1 species